rnacentral:rRNA from 1 species
UACGUAGGGUGCAAGCGUUGUCCGGAAUUAUUGGGCGUAAAGCGCUCGUAGGCGGUUUGUUGCGUCGGCUGUGAAAUCCCGAGGCUCAACCUCGGGUCUGCAGUCGAUACGAGCAAACUAGAGUGUUGCAGGGGAGACUGGAAUUCCUGGUGUAGCGGUGAAAUGCGCAGAUAUCAGGAGGAACACCGGUGGCGAAGGCGGGUCUCUGGGCCGUAACUGACGCUGAGGAGCGAAAGCGUGGGGAGCGAACAGG